GCAUUGAGGAGAGAGAAAAGCAGACAGAAGAGUCCAGGACUCCAAAUCCAGGACUUCAAUUCCUCCUCAACCCAAAAAGCUCAGAUUCCAUCUACUAUAUGCUGGGUUCCAGGAGAGAGUUCACUAGAAAAUAAAAGCCUUGAAAACUAGGAUUCAUUCAUUACCAUACUUCACCUUUUGGAGAAUGUCAUAUAGUGUACAAUGUGUUUUGUCUGUGAUGAGGAAGAUGACCAACUGGAGAGCUGAAGGUGUCUGCAUUACUGAACUGGUGGAGCUCUCUACUACUCUCUUGAUUAAAGUGAUGAGAGUAGACCUCCUGUUUUAUUCUCUUCCCAGAAUGACAUCAUUAGAUCACUAUAUGUGUUAACAUAUUAAGGAAGUUCCCUUCCAUUUAUAGUAUGUUAAAUGUUCUAAACACAAUGAGUAUGAAAUUAUCAAGUGACUGUUAUUAAUCUAUUAAGGUGGGAAUCUGACAUUUAUUCUUACUUAUUCUGUUAAUAUUUGAACUGUACUUAUGAAUAUAAGAAUAUCAAAUCAACCUCACAUUCGUGGAAUAAACCUCACUUGUUCAUGAUACACUGUGGUAUUUACGAACACUGGACUUUAUAUAUCAAUAAUUUAUUUAGAAUUUUAUAUUCACCAUGUAAUAUAGUAUCUAAAUUUUUCCUUCCUUAUACUAUUCUUGUCAAAUUUUGGCA